rnacentral:rRNA from 1 species
AAUGGGGGAAACCCUGAUGCAGCAACGCCGCGUGAGCGAAGAAGGCCUUCGGGUUGUAAAGCUCUGUCUUCCCUGACGAUAAUGACGGUAAGGGAGGAGGAAGCCACGGCUAACUACGUGCCAGCAGCCGCGGUAAUACGUAGGUGGCGAGCGUUGUCCGGAAUUAUUGGGCGUAAAGGGUGCGUAGGCGGUUUUUUAAGUGGGAUGUGAAAUCCAUGGGCUUAACCCAUGAAUUGCAUUCCAAACUGGAAAGCUUGAGUGCAGGAGAGGAAAGCGGAAUUCCCAGUGUAGCGGUGAAAUGCGUAGAUAUUGGGAGGAACACCAGUGGCGAAGGCGGCUUUCUGGACUGUAACUGACGCUGAGGCACGAAAGCGUGGGGAGCAAA